rnacentral:rRNA from 1 species
CGUACGGCUCAGUAACACGUAGUUAAUCUAACGUAAAGAAAGGGAUAACCUUGGGAAACUGAGGCUAAUACCUUAUAGAUUAAGACAUCUGGAAGGAGUUUUAAUCGAAAGGAGCAUGAAUUGGAGUGUUUCCGCUUUACGAUGAGACUGCGGCGGAUCAGGCAGAUGGCGGGGUAAUGGCCCACCAUACCUAUAACCCGUAGGGGAUGUGGGAGCAUAAGCCCCGAGAAGGGCACUGAGGCAAGGGCCCUAGCGCUACGGCGUGCAGCAGGCGCGCAAACUCCACAAUGUGCGAAAGCAUGAUGGGGGGAAUCUGAGUGGUUUACGAAAGUAAAUCUUUUGCCAAGUAUAGCAAGCUUGGCGAAUAAGUGCUGGGCAAGACGAGUGGCAGCCGCCACGGUAAUACUCGCAGCACAAGUGGUGUCCACGAUUAUUGGGCUUAAAGCGCUCGUAGCCGGUCAAUGCCGUCUUAUGUGAAAUAUUGGUGCUCAACAUCAAUGCGUGCAUGAGAUACCCAUUGACUAGGGAGCGGGUGAGGUCAAGAGUACUUAUAGGGGAGGGGUAAAAUCCUGUAAUCCUAUAAGGACUAACGGUGGCGAAGGCGCUUGACCAGAACGCAUCCGACGGUGAGGAGCGAAGGCUAGGAGAACGAAUCGGAUCAAAUACCCUUAAUAGGUGUUAUUUGUUAGGAUUAUACGAAUGCGGAAGCAAGGACCUUAUAAAUUUGAAGACAAGCGAUGAUGAGCUUGCGGAAAAAUUUAUAAAGCUGCUUACAUCCGAAUUCGAGAUAAAGCCUGGCAAGUUACAUAUAGAGAAAAAAGAGAAUUUGAACGUGAUAACCCUUUAUAAUUCAAAAUUGAAAAAGCUAUUCGAUAGAUUCGUAGAAAGGAAAUCCUUUAUAUUCAAAUACCUGAAUGAAUAUUCAUCUGCAUAUUUUGCAGCGAUAUUUGAUUACAAUGGAGGAAGGACUAGCAAUGGCAGGAUUUAUAUCAAUCGUUUGGAUGCGGGUGAUUCCCUAUUAUUGGAAAAGCUCAACAUACAUUCAAAUGGAAAGAGUAAAUCAUUUAUGCUGAACCCUAAUCUGUUUAUAGCACUUAUAAAGGGUUAUAGCUUAAAGGUUGCACGUGUCAUUCAUUGAACCCGGAAACGAGCGAGACUUUUGUCAACAGUUGCCACCAGCUUAGAGAUAGGUUGAGCACUCUGUUGAGACCGCCUCUGUUUAAAGAGGAGGAAGGAGAGAGCGACGAUACGUCAGUAUGCUCCGAAUCUCCCGGGCUACACGCGGCAUACAAAGAUCAGCACAAUGGGACGCAAUGCCGAAAGGCAAAGCAAAUCCCCUAAAACUGACCUAAGUUCGGAUUGAGGGCUGCAACUCGCCCUCAUGAAGAUGGAAUCCCUAGUGAUCGCUUGUCACUAUCGAGCGGUGAAUUUGUCCCUGCUCCUUGCACACACUGCCUACCAAGUCACCCAAGUGAGGUUUUAACGAGGCGAUGCCAUUAGGCAUUUUCGAGUUAGGGUUUCGCGAGGAGGGCUAAGGUAUAACAAGGUAUCCGUAGGGGAACCUGCGGAUAGAUCACCUCAAAAGGGC